rnacentral:pre_miRNA from 1 species
UAGACAGAUUAUUGUAUUCACGGCGUGAAAUAGGGGAUUACACUGUUUUAAAACGGAAAGUGAAUCAAUUAACAUAAUAGACUCCU